rnacentral:pre_miRNA from 1 species
CAAAUGAAUCAAGUGUUUAGAUGCAUUACUGGGCAAUUCUCUAUUGGCAGUUGGCUGCAGGGAGGAGCAACCUAGCUCACUGCCAAAGGAGAUUUGCCCGGCAAUUCAUCUGUGCAAUCAUCCUAAUAUUU